UUCAUCGUCCUCCUCUCUCACUUCACUCGCUCUUUCAAUGUACUCGCCUCUCUCAAUCGUUCCAAAUUUUAAAACAGAUAAACACAAACCAUUCAUUCACCAACGAAAUCAUGCUUGAGUGCUUAAAGAAGUGAAAAUAUGGAAAGUCAUGUACCGGAGGUGACGACGGAGAUACUUGGGAUGAAACUCUGCAAAAUCUCCCUGAGGGAUGCCGCCACCAGCUUAGGGUUUCGGUUUGAUGCUCAAUGGUCCAAUGGAGAAAGUUUUCAGAAAUGCUUUUGGAUGCUCAGAAGCGAGUUAUCCUGUUUGAUGCCAUCUUCCGGAAAGUGAAAAUUUUGGGGUAGUUGAUGAGUGGUGGGGUUGCAUCUCACGACAGACACAGAAGAAGGUUGGCGGAGGAGGGUUUGUUUCAAGGUCGCCUGAACUGUUGCUGCUGUUGAACAAGAAGUCGAUGUUGCUGCUGUAGUGUCAAUUGCAUCCGCUGGGCCUGGGGCAAUGACUGUUGCUGCAGUUGAAGAAUCUUUAGCCAACUUCAUUCCCAACUCGCCGGCAACACCAAACACAGCUAGUGUCGAUACUGCCGCAUCAAAAGCAUGGCUUUUGUCAACUGCAACAAAGGCAACAAUGAAUAAGUGGUCCCAUGUGAGCUUCUU